AUCUACAGCCAUAGAAUCGAGGAAACGCCCCAUUCCGUCUGUCCUAGUUCGAGCAGCUUGGGAUGCAUCUAACUCUGGGCAGCUUCUUGAAGCUUGAUAUCGCUCGGUUAGUACCAUCGUGGGGGACCAGAUGGGAAUCCCGAGUGCUGUAGUUU
rnacentral:rRNA from 1 species